AUACUGAUAGUAUAUGUAAGUACAGUUGCCUUCCAAGCAGAAAAACCAAAAUUGGUCAGUAUA
rnacentral:tRNA from 1 species